rnacentral:rRNA from 1 species
ACGGAAGGCAGCAGUGAGGAAUAUUGGUCAAUGGGUGCAAGCCUGAACCAGCCAAGUAGCGUGAAGGAUGACUGCCCUAUGGGUUGUAAACUUCUUUUAUAUGGGAAUAAAGUGAGCCACGUGUGGUUUUUUGUAUGUACCAUAUGAAUAAGCAUCGGCUAAUUCCGUGCCAGCAGCCGCGGUAAUACGGAAGAUGCGAGCGUUAUCCGGAUUUAUUGGGUUUAAAGGGAGCGUAGGCGGGUCCUUAAGUCAGUGGUCAAAGCGUGUGGCUCAACCAUACCACGCCGUUGAUACUGGGGACCUUGAGUGCACAUAAGGAUGGUGGAAUUCGUCGUGUAGCGGUGAAAUGCUUAGAUAUGACGAAGAACUCCGAUUGCGAAGGCAGCUGUCCGGGGUGUAACUGACGCUAAUGCUCGAAAGUGCGGGUAUCAAACAGGAUUAGAUACCCUGGUA